UUAAGAUACUAAGAGCAUACGGUGGAUGCCUUGGCGAUAUCUGCCGACGAAGGACGUGACAAGCUGCGAAAAGCUGCGGAGAGAUGCAAAUAAUCGGCGACCCGCAGACAUCCGAAUGGAGAAAUCCGGCUGUGAUGAUGCACAGCCAUCCAUGCCCAAGAGCAUGAGAAGGGAACCGGGCGAACUGAAACAUCUAAGUAACCCGAGGAAAAGAAAUCAAACGAGAUACCCCAAGUAGCGGCGAGCGAACAGGGAAGAAGCCCAAACCGGUGAAGGAAACUUUACCGGGGUUGAGGACCAUCAGACCCGCGAAGAACCUUAGCCGAAACUGUUGGGAAACAGUGCCGAAGACAGUGAAAGCCUGGUAGGCGAAAAAGAGAAACGCGGAGAUGGCACCAGAGUACCGCGGGACACGAGAAAUCCCGUGGGAAGCAGGGGGGACCACCCUCCAAGGCAAAACACAGAUAUCGACCGAUAGCGCAUAGUACCAUGAGGGAAAGGUGAAAAGCACCCCGGGAGGGGAAUGAAAGAGAACCUGAAACCGUAUGUUUACAAGCAGUCGGAGACCGCUUAAUAAUAAGGUCGACGGCGUGCCUAUUGAAGAAUGAACCGGCGAGUUACGAAGCCUGGCAAGGUUAAGCAGGAAAUGCGGAGCCGAAGCGAAAGCGAGUCUUAAGAGGGCGCAAGUCAGGAAGCGUAGACCCGAAACCACAGUGAUCUACCCAUGUCCAGGUUGAAACACAGGUAAAAAUGUGUGGAGGACCGAACCUAUAUCCGUUGAAAAGGGUUAGGAUGAGGUGUGGGUAGGGGUGAAAUUCCAAUCGAACGUGGAGAUAGCUGGUUCUCCCCGAAAUAGCUUUAGGGCUAGCCUCAGGGAAAAGAUUGCAGGCGGUAGAGCACUGAUCAGGAGAGGGACCUACCCGGUUACCAAACCCAGUCAAACUCCGAAUGGCUGCAAUCAUACCUGGGAGUCAGACUGCGACUAAUAAGGGCCGCAGUCAAAAGGGAAACAGCCCAGACCAUCAGCUAAGGUCCCCAAUGCCGUGCUAAGUGGAAAAGGAUGUGGCAUUUCAUAAACAACCAGGAUGUUGGCUCAGAAGCAGCCACCAUUUAAAGAGUGCGUAAUAGCUCACUGGUCGAGAGACGCUGCGCCGAAAAUGUCCGGGGCUCAAGCACGGAACCGAAGCUAUGGCAUGAUAGCAAUAUCAUGGGUAGGGGAGCGUUCUUAUAAGGAAGAAGCAUGACCGGAAGGACAUGUGGACGAAUAAGAAGUGAGAAUGCCGGUAUGAGUAUCGAAAAGAAAGGUGAGAAUCCUUUCCACCGAAAGCCCGAGGGUUCCUGAGCAACGAUCGUCGACUCAGGGUAAGUCGGGACCUAAGCCGAGGCGAGAAGCGUAGGCGAUGGACAACAGGUUGAAAUUCCUGUACCGGAUCAAGUCGAUCGAGCGAAGGAGCGACGCAGGAGGGCACAUGAUCGCGCGGCUGGAAGAGCGCGUCCAAGUGCGUAUGCUGCUGCAGAGGAAAACCCCUGCAGCUAAAAGCAGAGACAUGAUGGGGAGUUAAAGGAAACUUUGACGAACUCAUGGAUCCCACACUGCCAAGAAAAACUUCUAGCGAGACAAGAUCCGCCCGUACCGUAAACCGACACAGGUAGGCGGGGAGAGAAUCCUAAGGUGCGCGGGAAAACCCUCGUUAAGGAACUCGGCAAAUUGCAUCCGUAACCUAGGGAGAAGGAUGGCCCCCGGUCAGUGAAGAGCAGAAACGCUCAGAGCUAAAAGGGGCGGCAGAAAAGAGGCCCAAGCAACUGUUUACCAAAAACACAGGUGCCUGCGAAAGCGAAAGCUGAAGUAUAGGUGCUGACGCCUGCCCGGUGCCGGAAGGUUAAGGAGAGAAGUUAGCGAAAGCGAAGCAUCGAACUGAAGCCCCGGUGAACGGCGGCCGUAACUAUAACGGUCCUAAGGUAGCGAAAUUCCUUGUCGGGUAAG
rnacentral:rRNA from 1 species